GUCCACGCCGUAAACGAUGGAUACUUGGUGUUGAAGGUAUUGACCCCUUCAGUGCCGGAGCUAACGCGUUAAGUAUCCCGCCUGGGGAGUACGGUCGCAAGAUUAAAACUCAAAGAAAUUGACGGGGGCCCGCACAAGCGGUGGAGAAUGUGGUUUAAUUCGAUGCAACGCGAAAACCUUACCUGGGUUUGGCAUCCUCUGAACGCCGUAGAGAUACGGAAGGCCCGAAAGGGACAGAGAGACAGGUGCUGCAUGGCUGUCGU
rnacentral:rRNA from 1 species